GUGGGUAUAGCUCAGUGGUGGAGUGCAUGCUUAGCAUGCAGGAGCUCCUGGGUCCAACUGCCAGUACCUCCG
rnacentral:tRNA from 1 species